rnacentral:rRNA from 1 species
UUUAUGGAGAGUUUGAUCCUGGCUCAGGAUGAACGCUGGCGGCGUGCCUAAUACAUGCAAGUCGAGCGAACAGAUAAGGAGCUUGCUCCUUUGACGUUAGCGGCGGACGGGUGAGUAACACGUGGGUAACCUACCUAUAAGACUGGAAUAACUCCGGGAAACCGGGGCUAAUGCCGGAUAACAUGUUGAACCGCAUGGUUCUACAGUGAAAGACGGUCUUGCUGUCACUUAUAGAUGGACCCGCGCCGUAUUAGCUAGUUGGUGGGGUAACGGCCUACCAAGGCGACGAUACGUAGCCGACCUGAGAGGGUGAUCGGCCACACUGGAACUGAGACACGGUCCAGACUCCUACGGGAGGCAGCAGUAGGGAAUCUUCCGCAAUGGGCGAAAGCCUGACGGAGCAACGCCGCGUGAGUGAUGAAGGUCUUCGGAUCGUAAAGCUCUGUUGUUAGGGAAGAACAAAUGUGUAAGUAACUGUGCACAUCUUGACGGUACCUAACCAGAAAGCCACGGCUAACUACGUGCCAGCAGCCGCGGUAAUACGUAGGUGGCAAGCGUUAUCCGGAAUUAUUGGGCGUAAAGCGCGCGUAGGCGGUUUUUUAAGUCUGAUGUGAAAGCCCACGGCUCAACCGUGGAGGGUCAUUGGAAACUGGAAAACUUGAGUGCAGAAGAGGAAAGUGGAAUUCCAUGUGUAGCGGUGAAAUGCGCAGAGAUAUGGAGGAACACCAGUGGCGAAGGCGGCUUUCUGGUCUGCAACUGACGCUGAUGUGCGAAAGCGUGGGGAUCAAACAGGAUUAGAUACCCUGGUAGUCCACGCCGUAAACGAUGAGUGCUAAGUGUUAGGGGGUUUCCGCCCCUUAGUGCUGCAGCUAACGCAUUAAGCACUCCGCCUGGGGAGUACGGUCGCAAGACUGAAACUCAAAGGAAUUGACGGGGACCCGCACAAGCGGUGGAGCAUGUGGUUUAAUUCGAAGCAACGCGAAGAACCUUACCAAAUCUUGACAUCCUUUGACCGCUCUAGAGAUAGAGUUUUCCUCUUCGGAGGACAAAGUGACAGGUGGUGCAUGGUUGUCGUCAGCUCGUGUCGUGAGAUGUUGGGUUAAGUCCCGCAACGAGCGCAACCCUUGAACUUAGUUGCCAUCAUUCAGUUGGGCACUCUAAGUUGACUGCCGGUGACAAACCGGAGGAAGGUGGGGAUGACGUCAAAUCAUCAUGCCCCUUAUGAUUUGGGCUACACACGUGCUACAAUGGACAAUACAAAGGGCAGCGAA